CUUCAGGAUUAAACCCCCCUUCUUUAGCAUUACCUCCUUAAUGAACUGACCUCUCAGUAACUCAUCUCUUCGCAGUUUUUUUUCUCCUACCCUCUACGUUAGCCUUUCUGAACUACUAGCAUUCGCCCCCAUGCUUUUUGUAUCUUCAAACAAGCAACUCUUUCUGCUUUUCCUGCUCUUACUCUAUUUAGGUCCUAGAUCUCCUCUAAACUUCCGCUUAGAUUUUGCUUCUUAAAAGCCUUUCCUGACUCAGUACCUG
rnacentral:lncRNA from 1 species